rnacentral:lncRNA from 1 species
CUAGAAUGUGGAAGAGCUCAAUGUUGGGAGCCUCUGGUUCUGAAGGGAAGCUUGGGAGGUGAAAUGACCCUUUGGCAGGUAUCAACAUGACAAGAGGGAGGCGAACCAAGG